UUCCCAAUCGAGAAAUUUUAUUUGGGGGUAAGUUGUUCAGCUGGAAUACGGAGAAGUGAGUUUUUGUUUAUUUUUUUCUCGUUCUAAAGAAUCAGAAGAGAAGAAAAUCUUUAAGACGAGCGCGAAGACGGCGAAAACUGCGAAAUCGGCGUCGAGAACAGAAAUUGAAGAACAGAAAACAGAUGAGCAGCAGCAGGGUGAAGAACUUCCGGCGGCGGUCGGAGGACAACGACGUAAAGGGCGAAGACAAAGCAUCCCCUCGCCCUGCCGCAGCUUCGACGACUUCUGGCAGAUCCCAAACCCUAAACGCAAACGCAAUUAAACCCAAAAUCCCAAAACCUGAAGGGCCAAAGCGCCUAAGUUUCGCCGAUGAAGAGGAAGAUGACAGCCCCGGCAUCACAAUCACAGUGCGUACUUCUGCUAGAACUCCGGCUUCCGGAGGCAACUCCAUUCACAAGAUCACAUCUUCCCGUGACCGCUCGACCGCGAACACCCCUCACAUCCCCUCUAAUGUCCAGCCGCAGAGCGGGGAGUACACAAAGGAAAAGCUUUUGGAGCUGCAGAAAAACGCACGUCCGCUUGGCGGAAGCAUGUCCAAGCCCCAGAAAACGAAUCCCCUUUCUGAGCCCGUUAUUGUCCUCAAAGGUAUGGUGAAGCCAAUGCCGCCUCAACCUCCUCCGCACCAGAAGCAAGAGGAAGAGGAAGCCGAGGAGGAUCAGGAGAGUUUUGCAACUCUUGAUGGAAAACCGAAGGUCUCAUCUGCAAUCCCUGACCAAGCUACUAUCAAUGCCAUAAGGGCAAAAAGGGAGCGGCUGAGACAGUCCAGAGGUCCAGCGCCUGAUUACAUCUCUCUAGAUUCCGGUGGAGUUUUGGCUAGCCGGACUUCUGGUGGUGGAUCGAGUGAUGAUGAGGACAAUGACUUCCAAAGCAGGAUUGCAUUGUUUGGCGAGAAGGACGGUAAAGUAAAGAAAGGUGUUUUUGAGGAAAUUGAUGUAAGGGUGGAUGCCUUUGUGGAGAAGGUAGUGGAUGAAGAAGAUGAGGAAGAGAGGAGAUGGGAAGAAGAGCAGUUCCGGAAAGGUUUGGGAAAGAGAUUUGAUGAUGCAUCUGCUCAGGUGGGUGCUAACAAAGUCAUUCAGACCCCAUCCCUCCAGCCAGCACUGGCUGUUCCUUUGAGCACAGUCGCUGGUGUUGGUUUAGGCAGUGAGGCCAUGUCGAUUCCUCAGCAGGCUGCUGUUGCUACCCGAGCUCUGGCGGAUAACAUUGGCAAGCUCAAGGACAGCCAUAAUAGAACCCUGGCUUCACUGGUCAGGAAUGAUGAGAACCUCUCGGAAGCCUUGUCUAACAUCACUACUCUUGAGAAGUCUCUCCAAGAUGCUGAUGAAAGAUAUACAUUCAUGCAACAACUUCGUGAAUUCAUAUCAGUAACAUGCGAUUUCUUAAAGGACAAAGCUUCUUUGAUUGAGGAAUUGGAAGAAGAGAUGCAGAAGUUACAUGAGCAGAGGGCUGCUGUGGUUGAGGAAAGAAGAGAUGCUGAUAUUGCUGAUGAGAAUGUUGGGUUAGAGGCUGCAGUAAGUGCAGCACGCUCGGUUCUAGAUAGAGGUUCUAGCUCUGCUUAUAUAGCUGCAGCGUCCACUGCAGCUCAGGCUUCUCUGGCAGCUGGCCGAGAAAGUUCAAGCUUGCCUGUUCAGUUCGAUGAGUAUGGCAGGGAUGUCAACCUACAGAAGCGUAUGGAUUUUGUUAGGAGGGCUGAUGCUAGAAAGUGCAGAAAAGCUCAGGCUGAGGCUAAGAGGUUGUCUUUCAUUGCAAAGGGAGUUGGUGAAUCUCAGCAGAUUGAAGGUGAGGUGUCCAGUGAUGAAAGUGAUAGUGAAAUUAGUGCUUAUCAGUCCAGUAGGAAUGAGUUGCUCCAAACGGCUGAACAAGUUUUUAGUGAUGCAGCUGAUGAAUAUUCCAAUCUUUCAGUUGUCAAGGAAAGACUUGAAAGGUGGAAGAAAUGCUAUCUUCCUAGUUAUCAAGAUGCAUACAUGUCUCUAAGCGCACCAUCUAUAUUUUCUCCUUAUGUGAGACUAGAGCUUCUGAAGUGGGAUCCUUUGUAUAAGACAAUGGAUUUCUUUGACAUGGAGUGGCACAAGGUGUUGUUGGAUUUUGGUUCAACUGGAGGAAAAAUUGACUUUGAACCAGAGGAUAAAGAUGCUAACCUUAUCCCUAUUUUGGUGGAAAAGGUUGCUCUUCCAAUACUGCACCAUGACAUUGCUCACUGUUGGAAUUUAUUCAGCACUCGGAGGACAGAAAAUGCAGUUUUUGCUACCAAUUUAAUCAUUAGCUAUGUCCCCCCUACAAGCAAGGCCCUCCUAGAGUUAUUAGAAGUUGUGCGUAGCCGUCUUACAGAAGCCAUUGCCAAUAUUAGUAUUCCAGUAUGGAAUGCAACAGUGAUGAGUGUAGUUCCAGGUGCUGCACAGUUUGCAGCUUAUCGAUUUGGAACCUCCAUACGCUUACUGAGAAAUAUUUGCUUGUGGAAGGAUAUCCUUGCAUUGCCAGUUCUAGAGAAAUUGGCACUUCAGGAGCUUUUGAUUGGGAAGCUUCUGCCUCAUGUGAGAACCAUCAUGUCAAGUGUUCAUGAUGCAAUUACUAGGACAGAGAGGAUAGUGGCUUCUCUUGCAGGAGUUUGGCAUGGUCCGAAUGUGACAGCAGACCAUGGUCAAAGGCUGCAGCCUUUGGUUGAUUUUGUGUCUGAAAUAGGGAGAGAGUUGGAGAGAAGGCUUGCUUCAGGUGUUAGUGGUGAGGAGACAUUGGGUUUGGCUCGUCGGCUGAAAACAAUGUUGGUUCAGCUCAAUCAGUACGAUAGAGCUAGGAUCAUGUUGAAGGUCUUUCAUCUCAAAGAAGCUCUUUGAUUAUUUAUUUUCAGACGUUCUAGUGAAACUUUGUAUUUUUACCAGAAGUUGCUAUAAGGCACUUUUAUGCCACAGAAAACAUGAAUUUCUUGUAGCAGAGUAUUCCUUCUACAAGUGAGAUGGUAUUUGCAGAUUGCAAGGCCUUUGACGAUUUACAGAUCAACAGGAUGGUGAUAUAUUAUAUUUGAUGCUUCUUGUGCUUCUACUCUUCAUUUUUUGAUGGGCAAAGAGAAGGGAGCAGUUCUUCAGCAUAGGAAACAUCAUACAUGUAACUUACGCUAUGAGAUGGGUUGAAUUUUUAUUUUUUUUUCGUAAGGUUUUUGUUCAACCUGGAUGAUUUAUGUAUUUCAUAAAGUAUGAUUUUGUCAAGAGUCCACCUGCUUGGUUAUGCGCCA